rnacentral:rRNA from 1 species
CUACGGGGGAGCAGCAGUAGGGAAUCUUCCACAAUGGACGCAAGUCUGAUGGAGCAACGCCGCGUGAGUGAAGAAGGUUUUCGGAUCGUAAAGCUCUGUUGUUGGUGAAGAAGGAUAGAGGUAGUAACUGGCCUUUAUUUGACGGUAAUCAACCAGAAAGUCACGGCUAACUACGUGCCAGCAGCCGCGGUAAUACGUAGGUGGCAAGCGUUGUCCGGAUUUAUUGGGCGUAAAGCGAGCGCAGGCGGAAGAAUAAGUCUGAUGUGAAAGCCCUCGGCUUAACCGAGGAACUGCAUCGGAAACUGUUUUUCUUGAGUGCAGAAGAGGAGAGUGGAACUCCAUGUGUAGCGGUGGAAUGCGUAGAUAUAUGGAAGAACACCAGUGGCGAAGGCGACUCUCUGGUCUGCAACUGACGCUGAGGCUCGAAAGCAUGGGUAGCGAACAGGAUUAGAUACCUGGGGUAAG